rnacentral:lncRNA from 1 species
UUUUUUUUCUUUACUUUUAAGUUUCCUUUAUAUGUGACUUUUUUCUAAUUUUCAUUUAUGUGCUUUUUGCACUUUUAUUGCAUGCAAUUUUCUUUUGCCAACAUAGAUUAACUUGUCGAUCAUUACUAUAUAUGUAAGUGCUUUAUUGAUAUUCUGACUGGUCAUAAGGUUCAGCUUAUGCUUCAACUUUCAAACUAAACUUCCUCAUUUUGUGGUUAGCAAUUGAUAUUCUGAGUGGUCAUAAGGUUCAGCUUAUGCUUCAACUUUCAAACUAAACUUCCUCAUUUUGUGGUUAGCAUGUUACUCUUUGCUUGCUUUUUAACUUCUAUCUUUGAUCCAAUUAUAUGUUGACGAAAGAUGGAAAGGCAGAUGAAGUCAUUGUGUAAGAAUUGUAAUGUCUAUGAGUUCAAGUAAUUACACUUCAUUAUUCAGACUUGCCAAACUUAUUAAGGUUGAAUGUUGGAGACAUGAAAGAAAUACUUCUUUAAGUGCAACAAUCGUGUAUGCUAAUGUAUAUUUGUCGGGAGAAGAAAUAAAUUUU